CCCGAUCAUUAGUGAUGUUGAGUAUUUUUUCAUAUGUUUGUUCACCGUUUGUAUAUCUUCUUUUGAGAAUUGUCUAUUCAUAUCCUUAGCGCACUUUUUGAUGGGAUUGUUUGUUUUUCCUUACUGAUUUGUUUGAGUUCAUUGUAGAUUCUGGAUAUUAGUCCUUUGUCAGAUGUAUACAUUGUGGAGAUUUUCUCCCACUCUGUGGGUUGUCUAUUUACUCUGCUGACUGUUCCUUUUGCUGUGCAAAAGCUCUUUAGUUUAAUUAAGUCCCAACUAUUUAUCUUUGAUUUUAUUGCAUUUGCUUUUGGGUUCUUGGUCAUGAAAUCCUUGUCUAAGCCAAUGUCUAGAGGGUUUUUCCAAUGUUAUCUUCUAGAAUUUUUACAGUUUCAGGUCCUAGAUUUAAGUCCUUAAUCCAUCUUGAGUUGACUUUUGUAUAAGGUGAGAGAUGAGGUUCCACUUUUAUUCUCCUACAUGUGGCUAGCCAAUUAUCACAGCACCAUUUGUUGAAAAGGGUGUCCUUUCCCCACUUUAUGUUUUUCUUUGCUCUGUCAAAGAUCAGUUGCCCGUAAGUAUUUGAGUUUAUUUCUGGGUUCUGUAUUGUGUUCCAUUGGUCUAUGAAAAAAAUUUUUUUUUGAUAUAUUGUCUUACUCUGUCAGGCUGGAGUGCAGUGGUGCAAUC
rnacentral:lncRNA from 10 species